rfam:Tepidanaerobacter syntrophicus DNA, contig Tsynt_8, strain: JL.
UGAGUAAGUCAGAUGGUCGCGGACACUUUGUGUUCGAGGAAAGUCCGAGCUCCAUAGGGCAAGGUGCUGGGUAAUACCCAGUGAGGGCGACCUCAAGGAUAGUGCAACAGAAAUAUACCGCCCGGUAUUUCCCGUGGGAUGAUACCGGGUAAGGGUGGAAAGGUAAGGUAAGAGCUUACCGGCGGGAUGGUGACUUCCCGGCCCUGUAAACCCCACCUGGAGCAAGACCAAAUAGAGGAGCUUAUGCAGUGGCCCGCUGCGCUCCCGGGUAUGGUCGCUUGAGGUGUCAGGCAACUGACAUCCUAGAUAGAUGACCAUCUAAAACAGAACUCGGCUUAUAGACUUGCUCAUUUU